rnacentral:rRNA from 1 species
CCUACGGGUGGCAGCAGUGGGGAAUAUUGCACAAUGGGGGAAACCCUGAUGCAGCGACGCCGCGUGAGUGAAGAAGUAAUUCGUUAUGUAAAGCUCUAUCAGCAGGGAAGAAAAUGACUGUACCUGCGUACGAAGCCCCGGCUAACUACGUGCCAGCAGCCGCGGUAAUACGUAGGGGGCAAGCGUUAUCCGGAUUUACUGGGUGUAACGGGAGCGUAGACGGCAGUGCAAGUCUGGAGUGAAAGUCGGGGGCUCAACCCCCGGACUGCUCUGGAAACUGUACGGCUGGAGUGCAGGAGAGGUAAGUGGAAUUCCUAGUGUAGCGGUGAAAUGCGUAGAUAUUAGGAGGAACACCAGUGGCGAAGGCGGCUUACUGGACUGUAACUGACGUUGAGGCUCGAAAGCGUGGGGAGCAAACAGGAUUAGAUACCCGAGUAGUC